UACGUAGGGUGCAAGCGUUGUCCGGAAUUAUUGGGCGUAAAGGGCUCGUAGGUGGCCAACUAAGUCAGACGUGAAAUCCCUCGGCUUAACCGGGGAACUGCGUCUGAUACUGGAUGGCUAGAGUUUGGGAGAGGGAUGCGGAAUUCCAGGUGUAGCGGUGAAAUGCGUAGAUAUCUGGAGGAACACCGGUGGCGAAGGCGGCAUCCUGGACCAACACUGACGCUGAGGAGCGAAAGCCAGGGGAGCAAACGGG
rnacentral:rRNA from 1 species